CUGAGGUAGUAUCAUUCCAGAAGGUUCACACCAACUGAAAACUCCCUGAGCACUGCUGGGACAGGAGAUGUCCACCAGCAGGACUGGGCUCCAGUGGACACCAUCCUGGCUGCUGGAAACAGCAAACUCCUUCACAAACAUGUUCAGGCGGGCCUGGGAGGGUGACCAGCUGGAGAAGAUGUUGGAGCUGUAGGAUGACGCGGAGAUGCGCUGGUCAGGGAUCCCUUUGCUCUCCAUUCCCAGGGCCAUGGAGCAGCCUGGAAGAGAGAAGCAACUUGUCAGAAGGGAUAACAGACACCCAUCAUGGAAAUGUAUCCUAGCUGCACGCUCCUCCCUCUGCCCUCCACACACUUUCCUGCUCACAGCAUCUCCUGUGCUUUGAAGCACCAUCGCUGUGCUGCUCAGUGCCUUUGCAGCAUGGCUCUGGCUGGGCAGUGACAAAUGACACCUGCCACUCCUCCCACCUUCUCUUCUCCCUGGAGAUUUUAUCUAGGGGGAAUCUGGAGUAUUUGUCUGUCUGCCAGGACAAACUCGUUUCAAGGGGAAGGAUGACUGGAGACACACUGGACACGCAUAAACUGGAGUGCAAGUGCAUCUGCCUGCUGUGGGUGCCAUCACAGAGCUGCUACCUGUAAGGACCUGCCUUGCUCUGUGCAAAGCUAAAGAAAGGGUCUCCGAGCAAAAAGCCAAUAGCACAUCUCUCUGCUUGUUCCCUGUUCCCCAGGCUGAGGCACCUUCUCAGCUAUCAGCUCAGUUGCUGCCCAAAGUUUCCUGUGCUUCAGGACAAAGUGGUGAGGGCCCUACUGCCCUGCUUUUGCUACUGCUAUCUCUAAAGACACAAAGCCAUUUUUCCAGCUUGGCUCCCCCAGCACCAUCUCCUGCCAACUCCUUCCUAUCUGAGGGGACUUGAAACAUGGGGAAUCCCAAAUCUGAGCACUCAGCAGAGCCAUCUGGAUCAGCCCCCAGCACCGGUGCUGGGUGUCCCAGGUGGG